CAUUAGGUGGGCUGAGUGAGGGCAGACCAACUGCGCUGGUAACCUUGUAUGCCAGUUACGCCAACCUUGCUCAGUCCACCACCUGA
rnacentral:antisense_RNA from 1 species